UUUUUAAUAUCUACACGCUCCAUUUUUGUCUUCCUUUUUCAUUUGUCGUUAGCGUUGUUUUUUCUAUGAAAAGUUGAAUUUCUUUUGGCUUUGAUAAUUAUGCCCGUAACGCAGAUUUUCACUUAUCUUGAUGAUAUUCAUUGUUUUCUUUUCUUUCGUUCACAUGCAUGCUUUGUAUGUUUAUAUUUUCAUUCAUAUAUAUGUUAUUUUCAAUUUUACAAUCUGGUUUAUUGUUGUCGAAAUUAGUUGGAAUGUAGCUUUACGUAUGGUUGUUUGGGUAUGUGUUUCAACUUGGUUGUUUGAUCCCGUGUUUGUUCGAGGAAAUUUAUGUCUCUUGUUAGGAAAGAGGACGUGCAAGUUGUGUUAUAUUUUUUCCAUGUUGCCCUCCUUCUAUGAAAUUGGGCAACAAAUUGGAGCUAUAAGAUUACAUUCAGGAGUAUCUUUGCAGCAAUGCUUUUGCUAUGUUUGAAAUAUAUAUGGUGAUUGUCUAGGUUUUCAUUUAUGAACGCCUUGCUAGCUGCAUUAUAAAAAUACAAUCUGAAAAAUGGUUGGUUGUGUUCAAAUAGAUUGUUCUUAAAACUAAUAUCCUGUUUUGUUUCACAUUAUGUGUGUUACCUUUUUUAACUUGUAUACUUUUAUUUAUUUUUUACGAACUCAUGUUGUUUUGGUUAGCUGUUGAGGUUAAAAGUGGUGAAUCAUUUAAGGUAAACGUUGAAGGCAAGUUUUAUUGUCGAAUUUCACAGGCAUCUAUUGGAGAGAUUGAGAAGGAAAAAAAUAAGUCUCUUUAUCUGUACAUCACUAUUAAUGGAAAAAAAGCAUGUCCUGGGAACCCUUCACCCCAAGAGGCUGCCACAACAACGAUUUGACUUGCUUUUUGCUGAUAACUUCGAGAUCUCACACAACUGGAAACAUGGAAGUGUCAACUUCUAUGGAUCCGCAACGGAUAUAUCUGUAUAUCCUUUCCUCAUACUGUUUUAUUAACUUAAGCUCUUUAAGUUUAUAUUGUUUUAAUGCUGAAGUUUUGUUUGUGAUGUUGACUCCUUGACCAAUUUGCCUGUGUGUCUGUUAUAUCAUCACUUUCCCUGAUGAUACAAUUCCUUAUGAUGACACAAGUUCUGAUAAUGAUACAAGUUCUGAUGAUGAUGAGGAUAACAACGAUUCCUCUCAUGAAGAGGAAGCUACAAUAAAGAAGCAGUAUGUAAAGAAUAGAUUGGAUGUGUCUGCAAGUAAGAGUCUUCAUAAAUGUACGAGUUCUGUGUUGUAAAUGUUUGUUGUGUGUUUGCAAGAACUUUAAGAUAGAGAAUACUCAUCUAAUUAAUUAGUAAUUGAAAGCGAGGGAUGCAGAUUUUGUUGA